rnacentral:rRNA from 1 species
GACGAACGCUGGCGGCGUGCUUAACACAUGCAAGUCGAACGGAAAGGCCCUGCUUUUGUGGGGUGCUCGAGUGGCGAACGGGUGAGUAACACGUGUGUAACCUGCCCUUGACUUUGGGAUAACUUCAGGAAACUGGGGCUAAUACCGGAUAGGAGCUCCUGCUGCAUGGUGGGGGUUGGAAAGUUUCGGCGGUUGGGGAUGGACUCGCGGCUUAUCAGCUUGUUGGUGGGGUAGUGGCGUACCAAGGCUUUGACGGGUAGCCGGCCUGGGAGGGUGACCGGCCACAAUGGGACUGGGAUAGGACCCAGACGGCUACGGGAGGCAGCAGUGGGGAAUAGUGCGCAAUGGGCGGAAGCCUGGUGCAACAACGCCGCGUGCGGGAAGACGGCCUUCGGGUUGUAAACCGCGUUCGCCUGUGACGAAGCGUGAGUGACGGUAAUGGGUAAAAAAGCACCGGCUAACUACGUG